rnacentral:rRNA from 1 species
GGACGAACGCUGGCGGCGUGCCUAACACAUGCAAGUCGAACGGAGAUAUGAUUUCGGUUGUAUCUUAGUGGCGAACGGGUGAGUAACGCGUGAACAACCUGACUCUAAGAGGGGGAUAACACUCGGAAACGGGUGCUAAUACCGCAUAAGACCACGACCUGGCAUCAGGAUGAGGUCAAAGGAGCAAUCCGCUGAGAGAGGGGUUCGCGUCCCAUUAGAUAGAUGGCGGGUAACGGCCCACCAUGUCAACGAUGGGUAGCCGAGCUGAGAGGCUGAUCGGCCACACUGGAACUGAGACACGGUCCAGACUCCUACGGGAGGCAGCAGUGGGGAAUAUUGGGCAAUGGGCGCAAGCCUGACCCAGCAACGCCGCGUGAGGGAAGAAGGCUUUCGGGUUGUAAACCUCUGUCCUUGGUGACGAAACAAAUGACGGUAGCCAAGGAGGAAGCCCCGGCUAACUACGUG